UUAUGCUGAACAUUAUUGUAAAUCACAGAUGUUCACAUGUCUUUUCGCAAAGUAAAGCUUUGUUCAAAUCUAUGCAUUUAGUUACCUUCCGUAUGUUUUCUGUGAUUGAAUACACAAUUCUUAACUGAUGUAACUUGUAAAGGGGAUCUAGAAACUAAGAUGCAUUACUAGAACUUAUGUGUUGUGCAUGCCGACUUUGGGGAUCUAGAAACUUAAUUGAACAUCGACCACGUGCAGAAGAUUAGUGUAGAACGA
rnacentral:lncRNA from 1 species